rnacentral:rRNA from 1 species
UACGUAGGGGGCAAGCGUUGUCCGGAUUUAUUGGGCGUAAAGCGCACGCAGGCGGUCUGUCAAGUCGGAUGUGAAAUCCCCGGGCUCAACCUGGGAACUGCAUUCGAAACUGGCAGGCUAGAGUCUUGUAGAGGGGGGUAGAAUUCCAGGUGUAGCGGUGAAAUGCGUAGAGAUCUGGAGGAAUACCGGUGGCGAAGGCGGCCCCCUGGACAAAGACUGACGCUCAGGUGCGAAAGCGUGGGGAGCAAACAGG